AGAGUUUGAUCAUGGCUCAGGACGAACGCUGGCGGCGUGCUUAACACAUGCAAGUCGAACGGAAAGGCCCUUCGGGGUACUCGAGUGGCGAACGGGUGAGUAACACGUGGGUGAUCUGCCCUGCACUUUGGGAUAAGCCUGGGAAACUGGGUCUAAUACCGAAUAUGACCAUGCACUUCCUGGUGUGUGGUGGAAAGCUUUUGCGGUGUGGGAUGGGCCCGCGGCCUAUCAGCUUGUUGGUGGGGUAAUGGCCUACCAAGGCGACGACGGGUAGCCGGCCUGAGAGGGUGACCGGCCACACUGGGACUGAGAUACGGCCCAGACUCCUACGGGAGGCAGCAGUGGGGAAUAUUGCACAAUGGGCGCAAGCCUGAUGCAGCGACGCCGCGUGAGGGAUGACGGCCUUCGGGUUGUAACCCUCUUUCAGCACAGACGAAGCGCAAGUGACGGUAUGUGCAGAAGAAGGACCGGCCAACUACGUGCCAGCAGCCGCGGUAAUACGUAGGGUCCGAGCGUUGUCCGGAAUUACUGGGCGUAAAGAGCUCGUAGGUGGUUUGUCGCGUUGUUCGUGAAAACUCACAGCUUAACUGUGGGCGUGCGGGCGAUACGGGCAGACUUGAGUACUGCAGGGGAGACUGGAAUUCCUGGUGCAGCGGUGGAAUGCGCAGAUAUCAGGAGGAACACCGGUGGCGAAGGCGGGUCUCUGGGCAGUAACUGACGCUGAGGAGCGAAAGCGUGGGGAGCGAACAGGAUUAGAUACCCUGGUAGUCCAA
rnacentral:rRNA from 1 species